GAAAGUCUAUCUAGCGUGUUUUUUAUGUUCUCUGUGUCCUGUAGAGAUUUUUUUCAUGAUGAGUUAUGCAGUCCUGCUAGAUACUGCUGCUUUUCAAAAGAGAGAUAGUAGGUUGUGCUGUUUUGUCUUGCCAGUUGUUGAUGCAAAAAUGAAAUAAGGGUAGAAAUCUUCUGAACUGUGUAGUAAUGGUGCAGUUUUUGAAAAAUAUACCUUGUCCGAAUUCUUACCUAACUAUGUAGUAGUGACAGAAAGUUUUCUGUGAACUACCAUACUGAGAAAGCCAAAAGUGAGGCAGGAUCUGUCAGUUGUCUCCUGCUGCUAGCCCAAGCCUCAUCUUGCCUUUUUCACUUUCAGCUGCUUUGAAGGAAAAAAAAAAACGAACAACUGUGAUACAAAAGAUAUGCUUUACAGUCUACUCCCCGUUGUGCUCUUUUCCUUGGGAGUACCAAAUACUCCUUAUCUUUCUGUCAUUUUAGCAUCUUGCUUGCUCUCAAGGGCUGGUCUGCAUCUGUGAUUGCUUUUGUCUAGCUUCUGCUUUCUUUCAGUCUAUUAGAAGGAAGAGCUUUUUUUUUCCUUGGCUUUAUUUUUGUUUCUAAUUCAGCAAAGCUGUGGAAAACUAGUUGUGGAGUAUUCAGAGAUUGCUUUUUGCCAUUGUGAUUCUUGGUACUAGGAAUAAAAGUACCACUUAAAACUUUUUUUUUUUUUUCUUCGUUGUUGUUUAAGAAAAAGGUUUGCUAGUAGAGAAAAAUAAUGUAUUUUUUAAUUUAAAAACGAAUCAGUUUGUUCUUGCGACUGUAAAAUGACCCUUUUGCCUCAAUACCUGCUGCAGAAACUUCAUGUGUGAACAACAGAAAAAUACCUAGUGGAAAUUCUUUGAAAUAUUAAGUGAAGGUAGUUGUAUACCUGAGGUCUUGUCUGUGCUUUUAUCUUCUAAUACCAUGUCCUGUCAUUAGGACUACCAGGAAACUGCCUGUUUUGGUCUCACAAUUAAAUUCUUUAAAAAUCAAGUAAAUUGUAUUGGUGAAAAAAGUGUUUUUUCUCUCUUCAUUUAACAGGAAGAUUUAAAAUAUGUGGCAGAAAACAGCUCUGGUUUUCUCCGGAAUUCUUUUUCUCUAUGCCAUGCUACUUCCUGGUUGUUGUUUUGUUGUUUGUUUGUUUCCUUGCUUAAUGCAAACAUCUGUGUUUUUUGUUUUUUUUGGGGGGGGGAGGGGGUCCAUUAAUAUACCUUUAGUUGUUUUACAGCUCUUAAAAUAUUUUCAAAUAUAGUAAAAAAAAAAAAAAAGCAACCCAAGUCCUCUAUUCAAAUCAAGGGAAACACUACCUUGCUUUUUAUCACUUCUAACAUCAUUGAAGUUCUCUAAUUUGAAGCAUACUUUGUAUAUUUGUAAGUGCUGUUUAUUUGUAAAGGUUCCCUUUUGCAGAUACAAUCUUUAAUUUUGCUUUUAGGUACGUGUUAGUGUUUAAUAUUCUUAUAAUUAUAUUGCUGCUCCUUGUUCCAUUGGCUCUCCACUAAUGUUCUGGCUAAUAUCAAAUGUAUUUCUCAGUAGAUGUGAAAUAUUUGUAAGAGUGAAUCAGUCUUGAAAUAAUACUGUGAAAGUUUCUGUUUCAAUGCAUUUUUGUCUGGGAUAUUUUCCUAUUAUAAAGAUUUGGUGUAAUCUGUCUUCUGUAUACUGUAAAAGGAUAUAUCAAUUCUGUCACAGGUGUUUUAAUGGUACUUAGGGAAGUAGCUGAGCUAUUUAUAGUUGUAAGGAAUUACCCUAAAAGAUGGAAUUCUUGCCUUCAAAGAUAGCCAUUCAAAAUGUUUUCAUGCCUCUUGGUACUGUCAGGAAAGAAGAAUGGUACUGCUGCUACCAGUAAUUGUCAAAAUGUGUAUUUACUGUGGAUGAAACUAGGGUAGGAGCUGAGACUAGCAUUUAGUAAGUAGCACUGAAUGUAAAUGGAUUUAUUUCUGUUGUUACUUCAAUUACAGAUUAGGCAUAGACAUUACUUUCCCACUUGGAGGUUGUGAGUCUUUUCAAAAGGACUGACUUGUACAAACGUGGUAGAACUCAGGACAGUGGGGAACAUGAGUAGGAGCCUGUGCACUCUAACAGAGUCUCAUCUUCUCCACCAUCUAGAAGUUCCAUUGAAAAGAAACCUUGAAGGUUGCAAGAAAAGUCCAAGAUGUGCAGUUCAGUUGCUCCCAGAUUGUGGUUCUUAACAGACCGUCGCAUCAGAGAAGAUUAUCCUCAGCAGGAGAUACUGAGAGCGUUGAAGGCCAAGUGCUGUGAAGAAGAGCUGGAUUUCCGGGCCUUGCUGAUGGAUGAAGUGGUGCUGACAGUCGAGGAUGGAAACCUUGGUGAGGAUAAGCUAAGGCUGGGAAUGUGCUGAAAGAGUGCUUACAAAAAGAUUGUAAUAUGGAACAUACACUUUUUGAUAAUGAAUUCUGUGUGUGCCAGACUACCUAUAUAUCAUCUAAAUAAUGCAGAUGCACAAGAUACCAUAUUCUUUAUCUAUUAAUUGUGAUAGUCAAAAAUAUUAACUUUGUCUAUUUGCUUUAAAAGUGCAUUUGCCUUCCCUUUGUAGAACAGAGAAAAGGUUUGCUUUAGCUUAUUCAUUCCUGGAUAAGGAGUAUAAAAUUUUCAAAUUAAGACAAAAUUACUGAGUUUUAUUUUUGUGUGGGUACUUUUAAUUUUAUGGAUCAUAUUUUAAGAGUUUUAGGUAACUUUUUUCUUUGGUUUAUGUUGUGGCUCCAAGUUACCAAUCACAUUUGAAAUUAAAGGGAUUUUCAGUGGACAGUACAAAUUGUUAGGGAACUAGAAGUAGUAAUGUGACAUAACCAAGCAUGCUACUUUGCGGGUGUGCAUUUAGAAAAGGACACUGAAAUAUACAGUAUAUGCCUCAGAAUAAUUUGAACCAUUAUUUCAACUUACAGUUUUAAGCUAAAUUAUAACACAUCUAUUUUACUAUUAGCUUGUUUCUUCUGAGGUAGUUAAAAAUGAAAGCAAAACAUCAAGGUGUGUUAAAAGUGUUAAGUAAUCUGAUUUUUUUUUUUUUAGAUUAUGAGUUUGUUAUUGGUAGAAAAUUAAUGCCAUUGUCAAACUGUGUAAUGCUGUAUUUUUACAGCUUUUUAGUUUGGAUUUCCAAUAGAAAGCAGAAUGCGAUGUUCUUGCAUCCAUACCUCUUCCAUUCUUCUUCAUUGUAUAUCACUCAAGGGAGAGAGGAAAGAGUUACAUUCCUACAGGUUGUGUUAGGAUUAUUCUGUGUAAGAAGAAAAUAUGCAGCUACUUAGCUGUGAAGAAGAGGUUGCCACAUUACUGUAUGCCUUGUUCCUUGUUGAGGCAUUUUUAUAGGAGGGAAAUCUUAAAUUGGCUUUGGGGAAGAACUUUGGUCAGCAUUUGUACUGUAACAUGAAUUAGUCAAGCAUAAAACAGAAAUGCUUGAGGAAAUGGGAUUUUUAAUUCUUCCAUUACUAAACAUUCAUUUUGUUACUUUGAAUAUUGUUAUUUUUGUUAAUUUAUCUAUUAUUCUGAAAUGUCUGUGAUUUUAAUUGGAGACUUGAAAUUCUGCAGGAUGGCUUCAAAUCAGAGAAAAUUCUUGUCAGAAAGUCUGAACAUAUUUUUGCCUAGAGUAUGCUGUUGAAUGGACAGUAUGUUCUGUUAAGGCAGUCAUCCAGAAAUGUGGCUGCAGUCUUUUAAAACUCAUGAUAGAUCCUUCAGCUUUUCAGUAUUGUUUUUUAUUUCCUGUCCUUUGCCUGUAUUGGGAGAAUUAAAUAUGUCAAGCAUGAACUGUGGGCCUUUCUGCUCUCUUCCAUGUAAUGUUGCAAGAAGAAAAGAUAAAGUAUGCAAGCUGGAGUUGCUGAGAAACAUAUAGUACAAGAAUGGGAAAAAUUAAAGAAAUGACUUGAAAGAGAAUGCAGAAAGAGGAAAUUAUUUUCAUUCAAAGUGUUCAUUCAAAACUGUGUAAGUAACUAACUUUUUUCAAAAGGAGUGAGAUAAAAAUGCAGAAAAACUGUGGAUAGAAAUUUCCUUAUGUUUGAUCUGGACUGGCUUAUUGUGGAGUUGUUUUGUUUUUUUUUCUUCCUGCUUGAGAGAGAUGAAAAAUUUUGCCCCUUAAUUUUCCAGUUUCCUAUUUCCCAGUGUUUGUCCACAAUUAUAGAUACAGAUUUCUGCUUGAGAACACAUGCAGAUGUUUUGUUUCAUCUUCUUCAUUAAUAAACUGGUCUGUUGGCCUAGAAUAAAAGGUGUUUUAUAACAAAGUUGAGGAGAUAAUGCAUUCUGCACCCUUUUUUGUACUCUUCUUGUUAUCUUUUGUUAUGAGGGAUCCAGAUUGCGUGAAAUUUUGUGUAACACGAGCAUCCUCAUGAGGAGCCUGUAUCUUCAGUGAACAAUACCUGCUUUUGCUCCAAGUUUUCUUGUUAUUUAUGUUAAAAGUUUGGCAGUAGAGGGCUUGGACUUAGAGGAUAAUAAAUACAUGCAGAAGAAGUCCUCUCUACUGUGCCCUUGUGAGGCCCCAUCUGGAGUAUUGCAUCAAGGUCUGAGACCCCCAGUGCAGGAAAGAUGUGGAACUGUUGGAGAGGGUCCAAAGGAGGGACAUGAAGAUGAUCAGAGGGCUGGAGCAUCUCCCCUAUGAAGACGGGCUGAGGGAGUUGGGUUUUUUCAGCCACGAGAAGAGAAAGCUGCGAGGGGACGCCAUUGCCCUUUCCAGUAUUUAAAAGGGGAUUAUAAACAGGUAGCAUAUGCCUUGGCAGUAGAGUUUGUUGAUUUAAAUAUCACUGGAGCCCAGAGACAAAAGUCUGUGAAACUUCAGCAACUCUGUGACUCUUCCAGAAUCUGCAUAUGUCAGAAAAUGGAUCUGGCAUUUGUGGAAGUUGAAUGGACUAGUGCAGUCAAACACUAUCAACUCUGCUCAACUGAUUAACAAGUUUCUGCUGGAAUGGCUUUGUGCAUUUUGUAGUAAUGGAAUUGCUACCUCUAAUGUUCAGAGCAGAGAACGAGUCUCUUCUUUUAGGCAAUGACUCAUAUUUAGCAGUCCCUUGGCACUUGGUAGUCCAGAAGUGCACCUUACUGUAGGAGCGUUUCCUGCACUGUGCAGCAAAUUGCUCUGGGAGUGAUGCAGCAGAGGCAAGUGGCCUUGGUAAGGUGCCUUGUUGAGCACUGCAGAGUUGGCCUGUUUCCUGCUACGAACAACAGCAACCAUUACUUCCGCUGCAGACUUGAAAAAUUGGUUUGUAACCAGAGGAGGGCCACAAAAAUGUCCAAGGAAUGAAACAUCUCUCCUGUGAGGACAGGCUGAGAGAACCGGGGCUGUUCAGCCUGGAAAAGAGAAGGCUCUGAGGUGACCUGAUAACAGCCUUUGAGUACCUAAAGGAGAGCUAUAAGAAAAGAGGGAAACAGACUCUUUAUCACAAUCUGUUGUGACAGGACAAAGAAAAAUGGUUUCAAACUAAAACAAGAGAAUUAGUUUGGAUGUAAGGAAAGUUCUUCAUGAGAAGGGUAUUGAUACACUGGAACAGGUUGCUCAGAGGUGUGGUGGAUGCCCUGUCCUUGGAGGCAUUCAAGAUCAAGCUGGACAGGACUCUGAGCAACCUGAUCUAGCUGUAGAUGAUCUUGUUUGUUGUAGGGAAGUUGGCCUAGAUGACCCUUAAGGGUCCCUUCCAACUCAAAUGAUUCUAAGUUUCUAUCAUUAUUCCAUUACAAGAGUAAUUUUUCU